rnacentral:rRNA from 1 species
UUAAGUGAAUAAGGGCGCACGGUGGAUGCCUUGGCACUAGGAGCCGAUGAAGGACGGGACUAACACCGAUAUGCUUCGGGGAGCUGUAAGUAAGCUUUGAUCCGGAGAUUUCCGAAUGGGGGAACCCAGCAUCUUUUAUAGGAUGUUACUUUUCAGUGAAUACAUAGCUGAUUAGAGGUAGACGCAGAGAACUGAAACAUCUAAGUACCUGCAGGAAGAGAAAGAAAAAUCGAUUCCCUGAGUAGCGGCGAGCGAAACGGGAAAAGCCCAAACCAAGAGGCUUGCCUCUUGGGGUUGUAGGACUCCGAUAUGGUAGUCCAGUGAGAUAGUCGAAGGACCUGGAAAGGUCUGCUAGAAAGGGUAAAAGCCCCGUAGACAAAAUUUGACUGGCACCUAGGAGGAUCCUGAGUACGGCGGAACACGAGGAAUUCCGUCGGAAUCCGGGAGGACCAUCUCCCAAGGCUAAAUACUCCCUAGUGACCGAUAGUGAACCAGUACCGUGAGGGAAAGGUGAAAAGCACCCCGGAAGGGGAGUGAAAUAGAUCCUGAAACCGUGUGCCUACAACAAGUUAGAGCCCGUUAAUGGGUGAUAGCGUGCCUUUUGUAGAAUGAACCGGCGAGUUACGAUUACUUGCGAGGUUAAGUUGAAAAGACGGAGCCGCAGCGAAAGCGAGUCUGAAUAGGGCGAAUGAGUAAGUGGUCGUAGACCCGAAACCAUGUGAUCUACCCAUGUCCAGGUUGAAGGUGCGGUAAAACGCACUGGAGGACCGAACCCACGUACGUUGAAAAGUGCGGGGAUGAGGUGUGGGUAGCGGAGAAAUUCCAAACGAACUUGGAGAUAGCUGGUUCUCUCCGAAAUAGCUUUAGGGCUAGCCUCAGAGUAAGAAUGAUGGAGGUAGAGCACUGUUUGGACUAGGGGCCCAUCUCGGGUUACCGAAUUCAGAUAAACUCCGAAUGCCAUCCAUUCAUCUCUGGGAGUCAGACUGUGAGUGAUAAGAUCCAUAGUCGAAAGGGAAACAGCCCAGACCACCAGCUAAGGUCCCCAAAUAACUAUUAAGUGGAAAAGGAUGUGGGGUUGCACAGACAACUAGGAUGUUGGCUUAGAAGCAGCCACCAUUUAAAGAGUGCGUAAUAGCUCACUAGUCGAGUGACCCUGCGCCGAAAAUGUACCGGGGCUAAAUAGUUUACCGAAGCUGUGGAACACACCAAUAGGUGUGUUGGUAGGAGAGCGUUCUAAGGGCGUUGAAGGUAGAUCGUGAGGACUGCUGGAGCGCUUAGAAGUGAGAAUGCCGGUAUGAGUAGCGAAAGACAGGUGAGAAUCCUGUCCACCGAAUGACUAAGGUUUCCUGGGGAAGGCUCGUCCGCCCAGGGUUAGUCGGGACCUAAGCCGAGGCCGAUAGGCGUAGGCGAUGGAUAACAGGUUGAUAUUCCUGUACCCGUUGUUUUUGUUUGAGCAAUGGAGGGACGCAGGAGGCUAAGGAAUCAGACGAUUGGAAAUGUCUGUCCAAGCAAUAAGUCUUGAUGUGAGUCAAAUGCUUACGUCUUUAAGGACAAGUUGUGAUGGGGAGGGAAAUAAUAGUACCGAAGUUCCUGAUGUCACACUGCCGAGAAAAGCUUCUAGUGAGAAAACAAUGGCCCGUACCGCAAACCGACACAGGUAGUCGAGGAGAGAAUCCUAAGGUGAGCGAGAGAACUCUCGUUAAGGAACUCGGCAAAAUGACCCCGUAACUUCGGGAGAAGGGGUGCUGAUCUAACGAUCAGCCGCAGUGAAUAGGCCCAAGCGACUGUUUAUCAAAAACACAGGUCUCUGCAAAAUCGAAAGAUGACGUAUAGGGGCUGACGCCUGCCCGGUGCUGGAAGGUUAAGAGGAGUGCUUAGCGUAAGCGAAGGUACGAAUUGAAGCCCCAGUAAACGGCGGCCGUAACUAUAACGGUCCUAAGGUAGCGAAAUUCCUUGUCGGGU